rfam:Candidatus Magnetoglobus multicellularis str. Araruama Cont1212, whole genome shotgun sequence.
GUGAGCCGUGUGGCGGGAAACUGUCAAACAUGGUUCUUAGGGGGCUCGUAACUUGAGACAGUCCCCUGUUAUCCGAU